rnacentral:rRNA from 1 species
GACGAACGCUGGCGGCGUGCUUAACACAUGCAAGUCGAACGAAGAGCGAUGGAAGCUUGCUUCUAUCAAUCUUAGUGGCGAACGGGUGAGUAACGCGUAAUCAACCUGCCCUUCAGAGGGGGACAACAGUUGGAAACGACUGCUAAUACCGCAUACGAUCUAAUCUCGGCAUCGAGGAUAGAUGAAAGGUGGCCUCUACAUGUAAGCUAUCACUGAAGGAGGGGAUUGCGUCUGAUUAGCUAGUUGGAGGGGUAACGGCACACCAAGGCGAUGAUCAGUAGCCGGUCUGAGAGGAUGAACGGCCACAUUGGGACUGAGACACGGCCCAGACUCCUACGGGAGGCAGCAGUGGGGAAUCUUCCGCAAUGGACGAAAGUCUGACGGAGCAACGCCGCGUGAGUGAUGACGGCCUUCGGGUUGUAAAGCUCUGUUAAUCGGGACGAAAGGCCUUCUUGCGAAUAGUGAGAAGGAUUGACGGUACCGGAAUAGAAAGCCACGGCUAACUACGUG